rnacentral:rRNA from 1 species
AGCGAACGCUGGCGGCAGGCUUAACACAUGCAAGUCGAACGCCCCGCAAGGGGAGUGGCAGACGGGUGAGUAACACGUGGGAACGUACCCUUUGGUUCGGAAUAACUUGGGGAAACUCAAGCUAAUACCGGAUAAGCCCUUAUGGGGAAAGGUUUACUGCCGAAGGAUCGGCCCGCGUCUGAUUAGCUAGUUGGUGAGGUAAUUGCUCACCAAGGCGACGAUCAGUAGCUGGUCUGAGAGGAUGAUCAGCCAAACUGGGACUGGGAAACGGCCCAGACUCCUACGGGAGGCAGCAGUGGGGAAUAUUGGACAAUGGGGGCAACCCUGAUCCAGCCAUGCCGCGUGAGUGAUGAAGGCCUUAGGGUUGUAAAGCUCUUUUACCCGGGACGAUAAUGACUGUACCGGGAGAAUAAGCCCCGGCUAACUUCGUGCCAGCAGCCGCCGUAA